UGUGGUGGCGAUAGCGAAGAGGUCACACCUGUUCCCAUGCCGAACACAGCAGUUAAGCUCUUCCGCGCCGAUGGUAGUCGGGGUUACCCCCCGCGAGAGUAGGGCGCUGCCACAU
rfam:Salimicrobium flavidum strain DSM 23127 genome assembly, contig: Ga0111645_113